UUUGCAUAAAUGUGCUACAAAAAAAUGAGAUCACUGUAUCCAAUUUAAGCUUUCAAGCUCUCUAAGUCUCGAAAAAUCAACAACUAUAUACAAAUAAUCAAGGUCAUUGGAAUUCCAUUAAAUCCUGAACAGAAAAAUGUAUUGUCAUUGAUUGGGAAUCAUAGAAGCACGUCAGGACACCCUCACAGAACUUCGUCGGAGCCACAAUUCAUAAAUAACCAUGUAGAAAGCAUCAUAAUCAACUGGGGGAACAUGCCAUUGGAAAUGUUUUCGCACCUUCAACACAUUAUUUUGUAACAUCCGAUAUUUGUUAGAGCUUAUUGCUUUAAGGAUUUUCUUAAGCAGUGGAAUGUCUAAAGUGGCAACAACAACUGAAAAGCUCUUCCAAUUUAGAACGUCCGUAAAUGGAAGGUCAUAAUGGUUGGCGAUAAUAACUGGGACGCAUCCGUAAUGUAGCGAAUCCGCGAUGCGAGCUGUGUUUACUUCAAAGCCUUUGACGUGGAGGCAGAACUUACUCCCCAGUAGCUUGUCAGCAUAAGGUGUUGUGAGCCGGCCAAAAUGGACAGAAAUCUCAGAGUCAUUUCUCCAAACUUGAAGAAGCCUUUCACGGACAGGGGAGUUGAUUGAUCCAGCAAAGAAUGCAAGCUUCUUCCUGUCAACAUAUAUUACUCAAUUGAAGUUAGGUACGUUUGAAUACAUCCAGGUAAAAUUAAAGCAAUGCAAGAUUACUCAUGCAGUGGCAAUGACAAUUCGCUGUGCAUGUUAUCAAAUAGAUAGAAGUUUCCUGCAAAAAGUAUAUGCUCAUUGGCAUACAGUAAAAUAAAAAUUGCAAUCGAAAUAAAUUUUCUUAUCUUCACCUUUUUGAUGAAGUAAGGUUAGGAGGAUCUUCUUGCCUAGGCCAAACUUGUGGCAGAGAUGCAUCCUUGUGAGCAAUGUGACCAGAAAGGAAAUAGCUUGAAGAGCAGACAACUUGAAUGGCAUUAAAUUUCACAUCCUCUGCUUUCUUCAUUGCUGACCGUCCAAUGGAAUGACAAGCAACAUAAAAAUGGUCAGCUCCACCAGUCCGAUUCCAAUAUGGAUACUUGUGACUUAUAUUAAAGAUGUAAUCUCUGAUGAAAUCCUGGAUACCUCCUACACCAAUUCUAGGGUCAUGCCGCAACCUUGCAAUGGAGAAAGGCAAAAAGAAAAGAUCUGCCUUUGUUGGAUCCUUCGUGAUGAAGUGGCUUUUCAUGAGGACUUUCUUAAAGUAACUUUCGCUGGCAUAAUUGCCCCCAGGUUCAAAAUCCACUGGCAACAGUGCAUUUGCAAAUGGAUCAUCUCGCCUGUGAGGAUAAACGUAUAUCUUAAAGCUUCUAUUCAUUUGUUUAUAGUCUUCCAGAAAGAUAUCUCUAUCAUGGAACACCUCGUCAUUCACAUAGAUUCCUGAAUCAUAAAAACCAAGAGUUUCCAGAUGCUGGUGUUAAGAAAUAAAAGUUUGUGCAUAUGGACUGGGCUUUCUUUAGCCUCGCUGUAACCCACACAUCAGAGGUUGCUUAAGCUCCAAACCAUUCAUAAGGUUCAAUUAAUAAAAGAGGUCCACAACUAAGAGAAUAGGCAAUAGUACACCAAAUUUAACUACUUCAUUCUCUAGAUAAGUGCUACAUUAUUUCAAACUUCUAAUUCACCUAGGUUUAGGAUACAUUCCAGGCAGAAGGUCCAACUGCUACAUGCAUCAUUGAUAUAUUUUACAUGUAAAAUAAAGUUGAAACUUGAAAGUUUUUAUAUUGGAAAUAUUAAUUACAGGAGUUCUUGACUUUGCAGAAAGCACUGGAGAGAGAGAGAGAGAGGAGGGGCGGCAUGAGAGCAAUACACAAACAACACGGUGUAAUCUCAAAUUUUACUUAGUGCGACAGACAAAACUUAUUGUGAUGCACUAAGAUCAAACAGUAUUAGACCAGCAUUUUCCAAAUUGGAUGGCCUAAGCCCUCAGACUACAUUAUAUAUAUGAAGACUUCAAGAUGACUGCAGAGAGAAUUAACACAAAGAUUUAACCUUUGUUCUAGUAUAUCAUUGUUAAUAAUGGUUUUUUCCUGCAAAAUGUAUGUGUGUGUGUGUGUGUACCUAUAUAGAUUUUGGGACCAUAAAACAACAUUGUUGACUAACAUGGCUACGCCUUUAACAUUGAUAAUGAAAGAACUCAAAGCUAAUAAUGAUGCACCCAAAGGAAAUAAGAGAAGGGAGGAAAUUGUCUUCUGUAUAUCAGAUUUACGCUCCUAUAACUAUAUAGAGACUAUAAGAUAAUCCCACUUUGGUUUCUGAUUACCAAAAUAUUAUUCUGCUACAUUUCUCUUAAGACUUUUUUUCAGUGCUCUAACUUGGAAUCUUAUUUGGAAUGUUACCGAGUGCUUUACCAUUAUGAAAUAAUUUUUUCAAGAACACUUAACUGCUCAAAUUUCUUAAUGAAUAGUUGAUUCCUACUUAACCUAAAAAUCACAAUUGAGAAGAAACUGGACCUGCAAAUAACUCCCUCCUGCCAAUUUUUGCCGGUCUUUUCAAUAACGGCUCGAGGAUACAAGCUCUUAAUUUGCAAAACAGUCCAGAUUACAAAUGAAGACCCCCACCUAAAUCCCCAUUCAUCUUUAGAUAACUGAAGUGUUUGCUCAUUUAGAAUUUGGAGCAAGUGAAUUUAGAAGCCAUACAAAGAUUUACAUAAAAUUGAAGCUUAAUGAAAUAUUCAGUCAUAGAAAUGCAAACAAAGAUUCCACCCACAAACUAUCCAAAAACAAAAGUGUGCUUAAAAAUUUGACAUACCAUUAAAGACCAAUUGAAGUUUGGAAGAACGUUGACUUUUAUAUCCACCAUCAUCGUUCUUCUCCAAGGGACUAAUUCUGGGAAAAUGAACAAGUGGGGUUUUAGAAUCAUUGUGAAGUGGAAGUGGGAUGUUUUCUUGAGUGUUUGAUGAGGACCCAGAUGACAGAUGAGGUUUCAGGCGAACAGUAGAAGGGUGAAGAUGACCGGAGAAGAGAAUAGAGGUAGUAGAGAUAUAAAAGAUAAUAAUGAGAGAAGUAAAGAGAGCCAAGCAAGUGGGUAUGAAGAAGAAUGACCUGAAUGAAGGGGAAAAUCGGCGGUGACCGAGGCAGUAGAGGAGCAAGGAACUGUUGGCCAUGGAGAGAGUUUCGAGCCCUCUCUCCAGAAAGCAGCACAAGCUCUUUGCAUAGAAAAAUCCACGCAAA
rnacentral:misc_RNA from 1 species